CUUUUCCUCAGUCUCUGACUCAAAGUGAAGCUGGCUCUGGUCUCUGGAAUCCUCUUUGCUUUCUACACCUACUGUUCCAGAACUGUUUUCCAAACAAAGAACAGGACAUGUAAAGUCUGUGACCUAAGCUUCAUUUAUAUGGAAGAGACAAGUGAAAGAGAACCCAGACCUUCUGUGGCAUUUGAAGUGACAUGGUUGAUGGUGAAAAGACCUCCCAGGAUUUCAGAAUAUAUAGUUGGACACCACCUUAGAAUGCAAGUUACCUAUACUGUUGAAGAAAAUGAGGCAGAACUUUCCGGAAAGCUGCAUACAUCCUCCUACUUGAAAUUCCAGGAUAGCUGGGCAGCUUCGGCCUUUUGUCCUCCACCUGUGUGCAGCUAUCAGCAUUACGUGGUGGUAAGUACUUUUUUCAAGACUGAGGGCCUGGCUGCCUUCCAGGACCCCAUUGUUUAUGACCUUCCUUUUAUUUAAUGUUCUAUUUCUAUAAUUACAGAUGUUGUUGAAUCUAAUCAAGAAUCCAGGUGUGCUACCUUUGCAGCCCCAUGUGAUCUUAAAGGUCCAAGAUCUACAGGCUAGUUGGAACAGAGGAGUAGAGGAAGAAGGAAAGAAUAUUUAUUGUCUUGAAUCCAAAAUGUGGUGAGAGAACUUGGCAAAAUACAGAAGGUUUAAAAGAUUGCCACAACUCCUUGACAGUUUCAUUGUGGGUUGUUUUUUUUUUCUUAAAGAUUUU
rnacentral:lncRNA from 1 species